GCGGAAACGGCGCGGUCUUGCGCGCCGGCGGAGGGGGCGGCGGCGCUGCCGUCUCAGCUUGCCGUUGACUGCGAGGGUUGCAGCCGGACGAGAGAGCCGCCUUCACGAGUGGAUGACGGGACGCCCUCCUGACAGGCCGGACCAAGGCGGUGAAGGUAGCCAAUGGCCUCCUAAGAAACAGAAGACCUCUUUGAAAUCUUGCAGUCACAACAAAAAGUUCUGGAAAAAAUGUACAGUAUUGCAGUUAAUUAAUUCCACUGAAACCAUUUUGGAAUGCCUUUAUCUGACAUCACUGACAGUCAAAUAUAAUCAUCAUAAUAAAAAAGAUCAGAUUCUCAAACACUCUGAAGAAGGAAUAUAAAGGAUGCCAUCCAUCACAAGAAAUUCAGAUCAGGCCUGUCAAACUGCUUCAUGUGCAGGCCACGCCCACCCUGGCUCCACAAAGACAAAAAAGUCACGAUACGUCACGUGAUGCAAUCAAAUUUGACAUCCAUGAUCUAGAUCAUUUGUGAAGAUGCUGAAAAUUAUUGGACCCAGGACUGAAGCUGAGGUACUUCACUGUAUACCUUCCCCAAUGUAACAUAGAUCCUGUCCCACCAAGUUGCAAUUAUACCUACAAAAUCACAUAUGCCAUCCUAUCUAUACUAGGAUUAAGUUCUUCCUAUGUUUUGCCCAUAUUCUGUGCAUUGUAUAAGCACUUGAGUCUUUUAAUGUUGUCC
rnacentral:lncRNA from 1 species